UACGUAGGGUGCAAGCGUUGUCCGGAAUUAUUGGGCGUAAAGAGCUCGUAGGCGGUCUGUCGCGUCGGCUGUGAAAUCCCGGAGCUCAACUCCGGGUCUGCAGUCGAUACGGGCAAACUGGAGUACUGCAGGGGAGACUGGAAUUCCUGGUGUAGCGGUGAAAUGCGCAGAUAUCAGGAGGAACACCGGUGGCGAAGGCGGGUCUCUGGGCAGUAACUGAUGCUGAGGAGCGAAAGCGUGGGGAGCGAACAGG
rnacentral:rRNA from 1 species